AGUGGAUCAAGGCAGUGGUCGCCCCCAAUGG
rnacentral:tRNA from 1 species